rnacentral:misc_RNA from 1 species
CUGAUCCUUACCAACGAGCUCAUGCCAGGUUCUGGGCUGAUUAUGUCGACAAGAAAAUUUACCCAAUUGGGAAGAUGCUAUGGUCCUGCAUAGGUGAAGUCAAAGAAGCAUCCAAGAAGGACUUGAUCGAGUGCUUCAAAAUUUUGGAAGGAGAGCUUGGAGAGAAGCCAUAUUUUGGAGGUGAGGGAUUCGGUUUCAUAGAUGUGGCAUUGAUUCCUUUCUAUAGCUUGUUUUACACGUUCGAGACCCUGGGGGAAACUUUAGCAUGGCUGUGGAGUGCCCUAAGCUUCUGGAAUGGGCUAAGAGAUGCUUGCAGAAAGAAAGUGUGGCCGAGAGUAUAUACGAUGAACACAAAAGUUAUGAAACGGCUUUGUUCAUGAAAAAGAAAUUGGG